AUCAGCAAGGUAAUGCCAUCUGUCCAAGUGGAAACUAAUGAUAGUAAUGCUGAAUAUAUUUCAUUUGAAAAGUAUUCCUCCCAUGCUCAAUGCCAAUUCAGAUAAAAACACAGUAAUGUUUUAUUCAACAACAAUGAUAAUGUAUCAAGUUAAAUCAGGUUUACAUUCAAACGCAGGUGUUGGCCAAACAUGCCUUUCUAUACAAUGUAUCUAUAGAUGCUAGCGAAUGUGGGGAAAAAGGAAACAAUCUCAACCAACAACAGUUGACACUACAUGAAAA
rnacentral:misc_RNA from 1 species